CCCUCAGGUAUUACAAGAGACAGUUAGAUGUAGAACUGACUGCUUUCAACGAGAGAGAGAGAGAAAAAAUUCCUGCCCACAAAAAUACAGUUAGAGCAUAACAGAUUACAGGAGCAAAGAGAAGCAGGCCUACAGGCUCCUGCGCAAGAAGAGCAUGACAGACAAAAAACUUUAGAUAAAAGAGAGGUGGAGCUAGAUGAGAGAGAGAAAAAACUGCUGCAGACCACUGGAUCACAGCAUGUUGAUCACAUCUCUACAGCUGUUACUCCCUCUUGUGUCAUAGUGUCUGAAGACAAACCCAAAUCUCAAGAAGACACUGGAUCACCUGAGUCUGAAGGAUUGAAACUUGUGAGACAAGACAGCAAGAAAUUAGCUCCACCUAAUAGUAAGAAUUCUUUUGUGGAUUUGUAGAAAACUGGUCCUCUGGACUUGCGUUGUGUCAACUACUGUGAUAAAACUUUCCUUUGUUAUGGAUGUCAUCAUUUUUAUUUACUUAGACAAACAUACCUUGAAAUCACAGCCAUAUGAUAAAACAAUAAAAGCAAGAAUGACAAGAGCAAUGAAAAUAUGUAAAACAAUAAAAUAGAAUUACAUAAAUUUAUAAUAAAAGACUAUUAAAUGACAAAUUAUGCAAAUCAAAUGACAAAUAAAUUAUUAAAAGUUAUAAAUGACCAUAUCAUAAAAAUAAUAAGACCACACAAGCGCAGGCUGCUGUUGAGAAUGCUUAUCCUUCAAAGUACUGUAUUUGAACUCAAGAUGUCAUUGUGUUUUUUCAGUGUCUGAAAACAAAGUCGAACCUCAGAGUGAAAGAGAAUGUGAGAUGGAAAGUAGAAUAACAGAUUCACAAACCAGCAGAUCGCUUAAAGGUGAAGUACUGAAACCUGUGAGACGGACAGCAUUCGAGAUCGACCCAGCAGUAAGUAUUUCACAUAACAAGCAAGCAAUCUCUUGUUAAGGGCACUGACAUGCAUUUGCUGGAAUAGUACAGAAUCUCUGGAUUUUUAUUUAUUUACUUCUACUCUAUGCCGAUAAAACUGUAGUUAUGCAAAAGUAUGUGAUUUUUUUUCUUUCUCUCUUUCUCUUUCCAUUCAGUUUUCUGGAGUGAAGAGUGCCAGUAUCCCUCAGAACUGAGUUAGCAUGUAAUGGGAAAUGCUUCAUGUACUCCCACAUGAUAGCAGUGCAUGUAUUUCAUGAGCUGUAAUACAUAUAUUUGUACAUCGCAUAUUUGUACUUUAGUAACUAUAUUAGUAAGCAAAAGCUAAUGUCUGUAACUGGUUUUGAUAUGGUUUUUGAUGUUUUCUCUGAAUAUUUUAUGUGUAUAAGUUCUGUUAAAUCUGGCAUUAACAGGUAUGUUGAUCACAGUUACAAUGAGCAUCUUUUUUUCAUGAAAAAUGUGGUUUAGAGGAGAUUGAACACAAAAUGAAAUUUUAAAAUCCUUGGUGAUUAAUCAUAUCAUCUGAUCACAUGCCUGUGUAACGGUUUUCAUUAUUGUGAAAUAGGAAACCUUGUCUAAAGUACUCCCUUGAAGGUUUUAAACUUUGAACUAAACUGAGCAAUAAUGUAAUCUUUUCUAUAAAGCCUGUAAAGUUUUGUAGGAUUGUACUAUUAACAUGCUAUAGGUAAAUAAAUAAUGGCAUAGGCUUAUUAUUUAACACUAAUAAAUUUUUUUGUUUCAAUCUAUUGUAAACUUAUCUUGCUAUUUUUAGUGCAGAUUGUAAACUGCAGUGAUGCAUUCUAGAAUAACUGACAUUAGUACAGUGACACAAAUUAAUGUGCAACUGAGGUAUUUAAUAAAAGUAGCCUAUAAUUUAUUUUGCCUGCCUUUUUUAAAUAAGCCAGCUGCAUUAACAAUGACUUGAAGUAAAAAUACAGAAAAGCAUUCUUAAGACAAAACUGUCAAUGACACAGCACCUUUAAUAAGAUUAAGAAAGUAAAAGUACAAAACAGACAUUAAACAUUACAACUUGUUACAUCAUAUCAGAAUUCGUUGGGUAACUUAAAAAAACCUUGAAAAGUGCUCUGAAAGCACAGGCUCUCUCUCUGCUGCUUCUGGUAUUUUCUAACUGUGCCACGCGGCAAGUCAUGUGCGUGCACGUGGUUGGCGGGCGAAAUUCGGCACAAUAAAGGUUGCAUUGCAGUGCCAGGCCAAAGUAGUUUAAUACUCAAAACCUGUUAACAGCAGAUCUUGUCUGAUACAUAAAAUACCCAAAACUCUUUAAACAGUCUUUUGUCGAACAAGCCUACUCUCAAAAAGAAGUGUGAAUUGAUACCCACCAUUUAAAGCUUCUCCUAAUUGGAUUUCCUAAAUUGAAAAUUCAAAAGAUUAGCAUUACAUUUUAUGAAAAGGCAUAAAUAAUAAAUAUUUGUAAACAACCAACUGUAUGAGUUAUGUUAUGACAGGCUGCAUUAUGCUAUUUAACACAGAAAGACAGUGUAAUUCAUGCAAAGAGAAAAGUCAUGAUUGGCCAAUUUCGAAGGGCCCAAAAUGGCCAAGUAACACAAUAAUAGUAAGACUUACCUGAUGGAUACAAAUUGAUCUCAUCAUUGUGAUUUGUAUAAGUGAAAAAAGAAAAUAUAUACCGGAUAAUAGGCGUUUAUUCUUAUGUCAUCCUUAUGAAAGCUGCAUCUACAUUAAUAAAUAAUUAAAAUAUCUCUGCAUUGUUUUUCAUUGACACAUUCAUAGUCAUUACUUUGCAGUGCCCUAAAGGCUCGAAAAAAGUGAUCUCUCCUGGUUGGACUUAGUAUCGACACCCUGAUCUGAGCCCAAUCUUUCCACGCGUGUAAAAAUUCAUCAUCUGAGAAUAACAUGGUCCAGGGUGUCUGUAUUUAAAAAGGCCAGUUGCCCAUCCCUGCUUUAGACAUAAAUUUAUAUCUCACAUCCUGGAAUUUGAGAAGAGUAGAAAACUGCAAGUUAAUAUUUUAAACUAAGGAGUUAGCUUUGAGACUAGAAACUUUGCAUUAUUGUUUUUUUUUUUUUUUUUUUACAUUAAUGCUGUAUCAAGAGCAACUUACAUUCUAAACUCUUGAAAUGUCAACAAUAUGAAGCGAUGGAACAGGGUAGAAGAGCGAUGGAACUGAAUAAAAAUGUGAUGAAACAGGACAGAAGAGCAAAGGAACAGGAUAAAACUAAGAUGGAACUGGAUAGAAGAGGGAUGGAACUGGAUAGAAGACAGAAGAAACUGAAGACAAGAGCUCCUAAGUUUAAGAAAUGAAUCAUGAAAUAAUAGAAUUUCAUAACUCUAGAAAUUUUAACCAAAUGUAAAGGACAAAACAGUUCUCAAAUAUUUUUAACAAAUACUAUAGCAUCUACAGCACAACAGAGUUUAAUUAACUCUUUGUAUAACAAGCAACACUUAAUAUUUGCAAAAAAAAAAUCCACUGCCUCACUCUCUGAGUAAAAAGAAAUAAAAAAAUAACCAAAUUAAUUGCUUUAAAAUAAAUAACAUUUCUCAAAAACAGAAAUACUUCUGCGUAUUAAAAUGGCACCGCAGUUGCCCAGUGUUAAAAGGUUUCAACACAUGAAGUCUCUCUUAGAAAGAAUGCAUAGUACACAUCUCUUU
ensembl:lncRNA